rnacentral:snRNA from 1 species
AUACUUCUCUGGCAGGGGAGAUGUAUCAUCACCAAAUUACUUUUUCCAGGGCAAUGCUUGUCUAUUACACCCCAGAUGUGCUGGUCCUGUGAUUCCUCCAAAGGUGGGGAAUUCGACAGCAUCGCUUGUGGUAGUUGGGGGUGAGGGGUGGGGAGAAGAAAUAACAAUAUUCCCCCAG